rnacentral:rRNA from 1 species
GGGUCAGUAGGUUGGUCGUGCCACCGGUACGUACUGGUCUCACUGAUUCCUUCUCCCUGAAGAACCGUAAUGCCAUUAAUUUGGUGUUGCGGGGAAACAGGACUGUUACUUUGAAAAAAUUAGAGUGUUUAAAGCAAGCUAACGCUUGAAUACAUUAGCAUGGAAUAAUGAAAUAGGACGAUCGAUCCUAUUUUGUUGGUUUCUAGGAUUGACGUA